CCACCCCCUCGGCCUUUCGACUGAUCGCUCGGCCACGGAGGGCGACCGAGGGCCAAAUUCGUGGAGGCGGUAUCGAGAUCUGAGGAAAAAUAUCGUUCAGGAAAGCAGAAUCCGUUAACGACUAUGAAAUCGCUCACCGCGACGACUUGAAGGAAAAAGUCGGUUCAUCUGGGGUUGGCAGCGCGGAGGAAGCCACUCAAACCCUCCUGGUCGUGCAAAGGCAUGCAGUAGAAUGGUGAAACCAGCAAAGAAUAACGACAAGGGCUGGUCGUACCAUCGUUCCCUCCUAAAAAAAGCAGAAAAUUCUUGCUGAUACUGAUGCGGUUGAAUCAAUAAUGCUAACAGCCAAUAUCGGGGCUUAUUGGCAAUUCAUGAAGCGUAUUGCUCCGAAGAUGCAUCAGUGUCACAGGGAUGCAUAUCGCGGAUCUAUAUUUCAGCACUACAUUUUAUUUGGGGCUCCUACGCCUGAUCGCCCCACACUUGAAUUGCUGCUGAGUUAUUAUGAUAGAACUAAUGACACAUUUUCUAUAACCUGAUUUAAAGAUUGAGGGCAUGAAAAGUGUUAAAUUUGAUUUACAAUGGGUCCAUAACCAUUCUUACUUCCCAGCUUAUGGGGAAGUCAUACGUAUCAACCGGGACUCAAGAAACAGAAUCUGAUUGCAAUGCUUCGCUGAUCUUUUCAAAACUGAAGGUAUGAAGAAGUUAAAAAAGGCAACAAUUACCCAUCGAAGAUACCUUGAAGGGCAACUGGAAAGGUCGUGGAAUCUACAGAAAAACAGGAUAUCCAAGACUUUGUUCUGGUGCAAAUUCUGUAUCAAUGCUCUAUGAUACGGUGCCCCAGAAGCGGGGAGGGUAUCCCUAGACUUGUACUCAGAUAUCUGGAUAGCAUUGAGAGGGUAAAAGCGGUAGCAUGAGCUGAAUUCUUUUAUUCAUAAAUUAUCAGGGGCAUCGGAGUUGCUUUAGAGGGAAGAAGAGGCCAAUGGUCACAUAUGUCCCAGGUUGCAUGACACUAUUAUGUCUUUGGUACUACGAGAUGACAGGCAUAAAGAAAUAUGCCUACGUCGACAUCUCCAGACCUCCAAUGACAAACUGGGUAUCAGAGGAGGUGAAAGUCUCAUCUAUGAGGGUGAGGACCAAUGCAUCAAAGGCUAAAUCAACUUUAAUAACUAAAGUUUAUAGGCCUAUUGUGGAAGUUGGGCAUGCUCCUUCAAAUGUACAUGCACUUACCGCCAUUCGGGGGGGGUGAAGGAGUGCGUCAUGUGCCUAAGUUAAAGAGGAAGGUGAAUGUGGAGGAAACGAAGAACUUCUCAAUAGGUUAUGUAAGUAUCAUGUUAAGUCUAAGUUGUCUAUAGCUAAAUGUAAACAAUAUCCAUAUAUGUCUAAUCCUAUUUUAUUAUAAUAUAAUCCCAUAAUAAUUUCAAAUCAUGUCAAAACAUAUUGACAUUGCUUUUGAAGAUGAAGAGGAGGUGAAGGAUCUACCCAUUGAGCAGCAACUUAACUUUUGGAGAAACUCUGCUAAAUUCCUCAAACGACUACUCUUUGCCACAAAGCAGAGCAAGAGUACAUAUUAUAAAUAAUUUAUGAUUGAGAUCAACAGGCUAAACAGAAUAAUUAAAGAACUUGGAAGACAUGAUGAGGUCAUAGACUCGGUGGUGCUGAAGGUAAAUAUCAAACAGAAAAUUGUAAAAAAAAAAUAAAGCCGAAGUCACGGCUUGAUGAGGAGGAACAAACAUCCAAAUCAAGUAGAUUACAUAAGGAAGACCACAUCAUGCAAGAAGCUGAACAUAAGAUGGUUUAGGAUGAUGCUUAGGAGCAUGUUGAUGAUGUUGUUGUUCAUGGAUGUGAAGUUGAUUUGGAGGUCACGACAAUGGAAGGCAAAGUUAUGGAGAAUGUAGAUAGAGAAGAGGUUAUUUUAGAUAAUAGGGUUGAGGAUAAUGUAGAUAAGGAUGAGGAAAAUAUAGAUAGAGAAGUGGAGAAUCUAGAGAAGGAGGAGGAGAAAUCAGAGAAUAAAGAGGAGCUUGUUGGUGGAGAAGGAGGGAAUGUAGAUAGCAGGGUUGAGGCCAUUGUACAGAAAAAGGAGGAGAUUGUACAUAGGGAAGAGGGACAUGUUGGUAGAGAAGGGGAGAAUAUAGAUAGUAGGGUUGAGGAGAAUGUAAAGAAAGAGGAGGAGAUUAUGUAUAGGGAAGAGGAGCAUGUUGGAAGAGAAUGUGAGAAUGUAGAUAGUUCGGCUGAGGCAAUUGUUAAUAUUUCAUAUCAGGUGGACAAAAUCUUAGAAGCUCUGUCAAGUGAUGUGUAAAUAGAGAAAGUUAUAGAAGCCACAUCGAGGAAGUUGCGAAGGGCAAGUAAGUGGUCUAAAUGGUGUCAGACCACAUACGCAGAGGUAAAGGGAAAGGCAAAGGGAAAGGAAAAAACAAAGAAAAAGCAAAAAGUUAUUAUAGAUAUAUUUGCAAGUCCUGAUGAUGUACAUACAGUUGACAAAGUUACCCAUUUUUAUACCGGCAAACAAUAUCCCUUUGGGAUGCGUUGAGUUUGAAGCCAAUGACGGCUGAGGAGUAAGUUCUAUUGGGCGAGCUAAAUAAAGAUAUUCUAGACCAUGCAUUAUUUAGCAUACAUAUAAUAGAUAGCAGGGGUACUUUUGUACAUAAUUUUAGGAUACCAUCUAUAAUAUCAGCUAGACUCGCCGCAACUGAAAAUAAUUGUCUAACCAAGUUUUGCUCCCAAAAGAUUCACAGGAGAUAUGAUAUUAUUAAAACAGCCAAUAGCACUUUGAACAGAGAAGAGUUGUUGCAUUUGCUUCGUGGUGGCCGGCUUGAUGACAAUAUGGAAGAAGCAUUGUUGGACACGCUCCAGCAAGAGGCAUAUGACAAAAAAUUUGGAGUCGUCUCAGUGUUCUUUCUUCAUAUGUUGAUCCCGUUGGUCAGGAACGACCACUAGCAUCUGGUUGAAGUUGAUCUAAAAGAAAAGGUCGUCAACCACUACAGUUCUGUUGGCCAUGAAGCUUGGAUGGAGCCUGUUAAUAAAAUCAUAAACUAUUUUAAUGAACAACAAGUUGAUUUUAUUAGGCCAAAUGUAUCCAGAGUAUUUAAAUACAAGGCCAUCAAAUACGAGCAAUAAAGAGGGAGGUUAGUUCCUUCGUCUAAAUCGUGUUAUAGUUCUAUCUCUAGUGAAAAUGUCUAAUAUAACAUUCUAUGUUGCAGCUAUAACUGUGGUGUGUUCCUCUACCUCUACAUCUAAGCAAUAAUUGAAGGUCGCUCGACAUUGUGGGUUAAUCCUCUAGAUGAUAUCCCUGAAGCUAUGCGAGCGAGAGUUACUGCACAAUUAUUGUUAGCUGGUUGUGAGCAAAGACAUGCAGACGGGUCAGCAUAUAGUGAUGAAUAAUAUGUUUAUACAAAUACAAUGAUUCAAUGUUUAUAAAAAUACAAUGAUUCAAUAUUUAUAAAAAUACAAUAAUGUAUGUAUAUUUAAUUAAAAAUGUACAUUAUUAGAUGUAUUGCUAGCUCUAA